GAUAACAAUGACAUAUUUAGUAAUGUGAUUUGGGAACAAAUUAACAAAAAUAUGUUACAUGAGAAUAAUAAUGUAAUUUAAAAUAUAUAUGGAUCAACACAGCAGUAAUAGUGAUGUGUGAAAGGUAACAUUUUAUAGAUUUAGUAUUUUUGACCGGUAUUAAUGUGCUUCUAUGGCAAAGGUUUUAUAUUUUUCUGAAUUACUUGAUUGCAACCACAGGGUAAGCUAUGCAGCAUGAUAUUUAAAAU